CUGCGGUGGACACAUCCGGCGAUGCCGUUACAUAUAACUGGCUAGCCAAGCACAUGAUCGAGCGAAAGUAGGCCUAUAUAAACACACAACUGAGUCACUACAAUAAUAACAACACAAAGAAAGGAAGACGAACUGCACGUACGCAAGCGUAGCUGACUAGCGUCUUUGCUCUACUCUACUGUACUGUACGCCAUGGCGAUGAAGAAGACGAGCACCCUGUGCUGCAGCUUCGUGGCCGCCCUCGUGGUGGUCAUGGCUGCCACCCUCCUCCUCUCCUCAUGCGAUGCCCACAAAGAGGUUAGUAAUACGUAUUUGAUUUGCACGGUCUCUGAGAUCAGAAGAUUUAGUACACAGUUGCUUUCCAGAUGGAUGAUCUUGCUGCUUCUUUUGUGCCGGCGUCGUGCUACUCCAACUACUUCCCGCACUGCACCGAUCACCGGUGCAAGAAGUUCUGCGGCGGCGUGCGGGCGCCGCCGGUGCCCGGAGCCUUCUGUAACGACAGAAGCAACUGCUGCUGCCCCGUUAGUUGAGCUCCGUAGAAACGACUCAAGAUGCCUAUAAGCAUAAAUAAUUUUGAUGCUAAGAAAUAUAUUUGGGGAUGCUUUCAUGGAACGUUGGACAGGCUCAGCAAGACGUUUUCUAAUCUUCUGUAAACCGGCUUAGAGUAAAUUGUUUGUCUUCGGCAAAAAAUGUGAUUUAUCUCUACUCCUAAUCUCUAUUUUUAAUGGAGCAGUUGGUAGGAUUGCGUCCAGCUUUUUUUUCGUCCCACCACUUCUGUCCGGUUUUUUGAUUGGUUUUUUCGUCCCCUCCCCCUAUCCCUUUUCCAUGGGUUUAUUUUCCUCUUCGCUCUUUUCUUGUAAAUCAAUACUUUUCUAAGGUAUAAAAGAUCACAGGUCUAACUUUCUUAAUCUCUACUAGUAUAUAUUAAAGUAAAAAAGGAUAUAGAUAUAUUAAUUAAACAUGGAUCAUCCAAAUAAAUCUUUUUAUACUUAUUCUAUAUAUUCAGAAUAUCACACAAAAGACACAAUUUUGAGUGAAGAAACAAAGUAUACUUGGUUUAUGUUGGAGAAGGGCGACGCUGAAAAGGGCCAAAAAUCCACCGAGUUUUUCACAACAUAAUGAUGUGGAGGCAAUGAUAUCUCAUAAAAACCAAAAAAGUAUGUCAAUUUAAAUGUUAUCGCACAAGGUAUUCUUUUCAAUGUUAUUAUCGAUCUUUCUUUCAUCAUAUUGCCUUUUGUAUUCAACCAAUUUGUCUCAUUUUAAUACAAAUUUGGCUCAUUUUUGUAUCAUGACGAUAGACUAUGUUUGUAUCCCUAGAGCUAUUACAGUCAUCGAAUCAAUCAUGUCUGCCUUAAGAAAACCAAGUUCGUGGACAUUGAAGAUGCCUUGUUAUCAAACGACGAUUUGGAAUGCUUUAUGAAGGAUGGUAUGUUCUUACAGGAUGGUGUAAGACCAAUUGCAUAAACUUUGUAAUUAAUAAUAUAAACAAUAUAUAAUAUCGUAAAACAUAUAUAUUAUGGUGAUUGUGGAAUUACAGCUGGCUCACGAUCAUCUAUGAGAUAGGGCGGGUGAAAAGGUACAUAUUACUAGCACGUUUAUUUCUGCCAGAUGAAAGAAGACGGAGAAAGAGACAUAGAAGCAUCAAAAUUUGUUAAGUGCAUCAAGUAUAUCUCAGUAAUUUUUAAUAGAUUUUUAGUUGGAUCAUCCCUUAUAUGUAUACAUUGUUAAUGUGCUAUUUUGUUAUCACUUUACAUUACAAAGUUAAGUGGACUUAAAUUAUUAUGUAAUUGGGACCGUGUUAUAGUGUCUCUAUCUUUGACGAUUUCAGAAGCCCGUGGCAACGCACGGCCAUUCUACUAGUCUCUACUCCUAAUGGAGCAGUUGGUAGGAUUGCGUCUAGGUUUUUUUCGUCCCACCACUUUCGUCCGGUUUUUUUGAUUGGUUUUUUUUUUGUCCCCUCCCCAUACCCCUUUUCCAUCGGUUUAUUUUCCUUUUCACUCUUUCCUUGUAAACCAAUACUUUUCUAAGGUAUAAAAGAUCACAAGUCUAACUUUCUUAACUUACCUAAAUCACACGAUCCCUCCCAUCAAUGCAAUUUGCUUUAAGAAAUAAAAUAACAAAUUUUAAGGAAACAAAUAACGGAAUUUAAGAAAAAACUCAAUCAACUGUUAUGAAGAGAAUCAUGACUUACCUUUUCUUCUCCAAUCCUUCCCAACCAAUCUCCGAAUCUUUAUUGUCUUCAAUUCUACUUCCUGCCUUCCCCCACGUCUUCUUUCGCAUAGCGACCGCCGCCGCUGCGCCCUCUUCUGCCGGAUCGCACAUGCUCCUGUUGUAGCCGUCUUCCACCAUACUGAAGCGGUCGUCGCCAACAGAACGCCUCAACAAGGUACAUCGCCUGCCUGCCCUGCCGCCGGUGGGGCUUGCGCGCUCACCGGCGGCACAUCAACAGCAUGCCGCCACUGCAGGGACCCAACGCUGCGCAACCCAACCCGGCUUGCUUCGCCACCCCUUCCCCUCCGUCUUCCUCUCCUCCGGUCAGUGCAGUGCUACUGCCGCCACGGACGGGAUCGUGCAACUCGAUCAAUUCCCAGCAGGAUCCAUUCCUCGCACUGACGCGCACGUCGGAGCCGCUCGAAUGCGGAUGCGGACGGCCUCGCCCUCUCGCUAACCGAACCGAGCUCCAUCCCAUCGCGUCCCCUUUCUCUCCGGCUAGCUAUACUUCUCCGGCGACUAAAGACGUCUUUUUUCCCACCGAGACGAGACGAGACGACCUCGUCUCCUUCCUCUCCUCCGCUCAAUCACUGCCGACGCCACGAUGGACGAGAUUGUCCAGCGAUCCGAUUCCAGCGACUCGGUUUUUCGAUCGCGCGUCUCCUCACGAAUCCUUCCCCUUUUUCUUCUCCCGGCCGAUUACAAUUUAUAUAGAGAGUGGCAAUUCGGUGCUCGAGCUCAGCUGCACCUCAUAUCUUGUUCGUUGGCUGAUGCGUUGGGAUUGGGAAAAGAGGGACAGAUGUGUCAGAGCUAGUUCGACUGAAAAGCGGAAUACGGCUGGGCAGUGCUCUGGCAGAAGAGGGCGCAGCUGCACCUCAUAUUUUGUUCGAGCUCAGCUGCACCUCAUAUUUUGUUGCAGUCCUAAGCAAACUGAGUUAGCUGUUCACUCGUUACAGGCUACGGCUGGGCAGUGCUCUGCCGGAUAAAACUCCAUGCCCAUCGACAGUUCCUGAUUCAGUCAAUACCGAUGUCUCAAUACUGAUGUAAAUGUUCAAUCACUUGAGAAAAAUGUUUACAACUCGUCGACGGUUCCUGAUUCAGUCAAUUUAAAUGCUGAUGCACAUCAAUUUAUCAGCACAAACAUUUUUUAGGGACUGUUUUGUCCAGACAUAUGGUUCUCAUUUCCAUAAAAUUUCACCAAAAUUGCAUAUCAUUUAGUAGGCAUAAGAAUAAGAAUAUAUAUAUAUAUAUAUAUAUUUCGCUCGAAAUGGCAUUGCGGCAAAAUAUUUAAGUGAACCUGAAUUUGAGCAGAAUUAAAA
rnacentral:rRNA from 1 species